GAUGAACGCUGGCGGCGUGCCUAAUACAUGCAAGUCGAGCGAACAGAUGAGGAGCUUGCUCCUCUGACGUUAGCGGCGGACGGGUGAGUAACACGUGGAUAACCUACCUAUAAGACUGGGAUAACUUCGGGAAACCGGAGCUAAUACCGGAUAAUAUAUUGAACCGCAUGGUUCAAUAGUGAAAGACGGUUUUGCUGUCACUUAUAGAUGGAUCCGCGCCGCAUUAGCUAGUUGGUAAGGUAACGGCUUACCAAGGCGACGAUGCGUAGCCGACCUGAGAGGGUGAUCGGCCACACUGGAACUGAGACACGGUCCAGACUCCUACGGGAGGCAGCAGUAGGGAAUCUUCCGCAAUGGGCGAAAGCCUGACGGAGCAACGCCGCGUGAGUGAUGAAGGUCUUCGGAUCGUAAAACUCUGUUAUUAAGGAAGAACAAAUGUGUAAGUAACUAUGCACGUCUUGACGGUACCUAAUCAGAAAGCCACGGCUAACUACGUG
rnacentral:rRNA from 1 species